GUAGGUGGCAAGCGUUGUCCGGAAUUAUUGGGCGUAAAGCGCGCGCAGGCGGUUCUUUAAGUCUGAUGUGAAAGCCCACGGCUCAACCGUGGAGGGUCAUUGGAAACUGGAGAACUUGAGUACCGAAGAGGAAAGCGGAAUUCCACGUGUAGCGGUGAAAUGCGUAGAGAUGUGGAGGAACACCAGUGGCGAAGGCGGCUUUCUGGUCUGUAACUGACGCUGAGGCGCGAAAGCGUGGGGAGCAAACAGGGAUUAGAUACCCUGGUAGUCCACGCCGUAAACGAUGAGUGCUAAGUGUUAGGGGGUUUCCGCCCCCUUAGUGCUGCAGCUAACGCAUUAAGCACUCCGCCUGGGGAGUACGACCGCAAGGUUG
rnacentral:rRNA from 1 species